rnacentral:rRNA from 1 species
GAUCCUGGCUCAGGAUGAACGCUAGCUACAGGCUUAACACAUGCAAGUCGAGGGGCAGCAUGGACCCCAGCUUUGCUGGGUUUGAUGGCGACCGGCGCACGGGUGAGUAACGCGUAUCCAACCUGCCCUUUACUCCGGGGAUAGUCUCCUGAAAGGGAGUUUAAUACCGGAUGUGUUUGUCUUUCUGCAUGGGAGCGACAAAUAAAGAUUAAUUGGUAAAGGAUGGGGAUGCGUCCCCAUUAGCUUG